rnacentral:lncRNA from 1 species
ACGUUUUCUUUGAAAAGAGCAACUUCUUAGUCUCACUAGAGUUGUCCUUUUGAUUUGAAGUUCAUCAUCAUAUGAGAAACUUCCUAUCAUCUUUUGUCUAUAUUUAGGGCUUGAUAUAAUCCAAUUAUAUCCUAAAAUCUAUCAAUAUAGAUUUCCAUCCCAUGUAUAUAGACUAUGUCUCCCAUAUACAUUCUAUCGUU